CUUGGAGGUUGUGGCCUUGAGCCGUGGCUUUCGGAGCUAACGCGUUAAGUAGACCGCCUGGGGAGUACGGUCGCAAGAUUAAAACUCAAAUGAAUUGACGGGGGCCCGCACAAGCGGUGGAGCAUGUGGUUUAAUUCGAUGCAACGCGAAGAACCUUACCUACUCUUGACAUCCAGAGAACUUAGCAGAGAUGCUUUGGUGCCUUCGGGAACUCUGAGACAGGUGCUGCAUGGCUGUCGUCAGCUCGUGUCGUGAGAU
rnacentral:rRNA from 1 species